rnacentral:rRNA from 12 species
AAUUGCUAAAUAUUUAGAUUUUAGAUUUCAGAUCUAGAGUCUACUCUUGGAAACUAAGCAGGGCUGUGCCUGGUUAGUACUUGAGUGGGAGACCAACUUGAAAGAUCAGGGGCAGCUAUUC